rnacentral:rRNA from 1 species
GAUGAACGCUAGCGGCAGGCCUAAUACAUGCAAGUCGAACGAGAUUAAGAGGCUUGCUUCUUAUGAAAGUGGCGCACGGGUGCGUAACGCGUAUGCAACCUACCUUAAUCAGGGGGAUAGCCCGAAGAAAUUCGGAUUAAGACCGCAUAAAAACACAGGAUAGCAUUAUCCAAUGUUCAAAUAUUUAUAGGAUUAAGAUGGGCAUGCGUGUCAUUAGCUAGUUGGCGGGGUAACGGCCCACCAAGGCGACGAUGACUAGGGGAUCUGAGAGGAUGACCCCCCACACUGGUGCUGAGACACGGACCAGACUCCUACGGGAGGCAGCAGUAAGGAAUAUUGGGCGAUGGAGGGAACUCUGAACCAGCCAUGCCGCGUGCAGGAAGACAGCCCUCUGGGUCGUAAACUGCUUUUAUUCGGGAAUAAACCUUUCUACGUGUAGGAAGCUGAAUGUACCGAAGGAAUAAGGAUCGGCUAACUCCGUG